rfam:Gossypium hirsutum cultivar TM-1 unplaced genomic scaffold scaffold304.1, whole genome shotgun sequence
GAAAGUUUGGACGAGUGGUCUAAGGCGCCAGAUUUAGGCUCUGGUUCGAAAGGGCGUGGGUCCAAAUCCCACAGCUGUCA